CCGAUCUCAUAAGAUGCGCCGCUGCAUUAUUUUUUAAGAAUCCCAGAAAGAAUCGAUCGUUUAGCCCGUGACGGGUGGUGCUUAGACAGGCUACGCGGGAGAAAUGGAGACGGCGACUGUUGGUCUCAGAUUAUGGCAUUUCCAGACCAUUUUCGGUGAUGGUUUCGCCGUUGAUAGGUGGAUCCGGUGGUGGAAAGUGGUUUUCGGGUUUGGGAUGGCUGAAUCUGGCGAGGGACGAAUGAUUCCGGUGAAAAAAUUCAUCGGAAAACUUAAA
rnacentral:lncRNA from 1 species